UGUGAACGCAUGCCCCUGGGUACAAGCAGCCGUUGGUACAAGGAGCUCUGCUCCUUGACACUGAACUAGUUAGAGCACAACCCUUGACUACAGGCCCCUGCGCCUCAGUGCUGGCUCAGUGCCUUUUCAAUGUUGUCUCUAACCAUGUCACAUCCAGAAAGCAGGUUUGACGAGAGACGCUGCGAGGGGGCUUGAUCACGUGACUUUUCUAAAGCGAUGAAGUGAGAAUCCAAGGCUGCGUCCACACUCACAUAGCUAGCCAUGUUCUGCAGGGAGAGAAUUCAUCACCCUCAGGAAGUUGGAUAGAGUUUUGAUCCUGUAUCAUCGUAGUCAUUGUCGUCAUUGACAUCAUCAUCAUCACAGAUGCCAAACGAGUCCAUGGUAGAGAAGGUACUGGAACCCUGCCAGGAUCUUUAGGGUCCUGGUUGAUUUGACAAUUUAUGAUGUUCACUCCAUCGUAUCCUAGAAACUCAGCGGUUUGUUUGUUUUUUUAACCCAAGUCCUUCUGAGUGUGGAACUUACUUUCGUCCAAAAGCAUGAACUUGACACUUGGAUCCACAAGGAAAAACCAGGCCCGCCAGGCAGGAAGGUCCACUCCCUCUCUGAUGGAGAGGCUCGUCCUGGAGCAGAUGACCUUGGAGAUUGCAUUAGAAUAAAAACAAAGAACACUUCCUGACCAGAUGGCUCUCCUCGUGUGGUGACGGGAUUGAGAGAUGGGACCACCAUGCAGCACCAAAGCCUUAAGAAAGACAGGCGGGAUCUUACCCCACCCCAAUACUUCCUCUGUUCAAGCCUAAAGCUCAAAUCAGCAUCCUGAAGAUGACUGUAGACAGCCUUCUUCUGUUUCUUGUCUGUUUUAGCUUGUAAUGGCUGCUGAAUAUAGGAUUCUGCCCUAACACUCUGGUUACAGUGUCUCUGACUGACCAGCCAGCUGCUGGGUACUGGCUACUGU
rnacentral:lncRNA from 1 species